rnacentral:rRNA from 1 species
UGGGGAAUAUUGGACAAUGGGCGCAAGCCUGAUCCAGCCAUGCCGCGUGUGUGAAGAAGGCCUUUUGGUUGUAAAGCACUUUAAGCGAGGAGGAGGCUACUUGGAUUAAUACUCUAUGAUAGUGGACGUUACUCGCAGAAUAAGCACCGGCUAACUCUGUGCCAGCAGCCGCGGUAAUACAUAGGGUGCGAGCGUUAAUCGGAUUUACUGGGCGUAAAGCGUGCGUAGGCGGGUUCUUAAGUCGGAUGUGAAAUCCCUGAGCUUAACUUAGGAAUUGAAUGCGAUACUGGGAAGCUAGAGUAUGGGAGAGGAUGGUAGAAUUACAGGUGUAGCGGUGAAAUGCGUAGAGAGCUGGAGGAAUACCGAUGGCGAAGGCAGCCAUCUGGCCUAAUACUGACGCUGAGGUACGAAAGCAUGGGGAGCAAACAGG